rnacentral:rRNA from 1 species
CGCCCUUGAGUUUGAUCAUGGCUCAGGACGAACGCUGGCGGCGUGCUUAACACAUGCAAGUCGAACGGAAAGGCCCUGCUUUUGUGGGGUGCUCGAGUGGCGAACGGGUGAGUAACACGUGAGUAACCUGCCCUUGACUUUGGGAUAACUUCAGGAAACUGGGGCUAAUACCGGAUAGGAGCUCCUGCUGCAUGGUGGGGGUUGGAAAGUUUCGGCGGUUGGGGAUGGACUCGCGGCUUAUCAGCUUGUUGGUGGGGUAGUGGCUUACCAAGGCUUUGACGGGUAGCCGGCCUGAGAGGGUGACCGGCCACAUUGGGACUGAGAUACGGCCCAGACUCCUACGGGAGGCAGCAGUGGGGAAUAUUGCACAAUGGGCGGAAGCCUGAUGCAGCAACGCCGCGUGCGGGAUGACGGCCUUCGGGUUGUAAACCGCUUUCGCCUGUGACGAAGCGUGAGUGACGGUAAUGGGUAAAGAAGCACCGGCUAACUACGUGCCAGCAGCCGCGGUGAUACGUAGGGUGCGAGCGUUGUCCGGAUUUAUUGGGCGUAAAGGGCUCGUAGGUGGUUGAUCGCGUCGGAAGUGUAAUCUUGGGGCUUAACCCUGAGCGUGCUUUCGAUACGGGUUGACUUGAGGAAGGUAGGGGAGAAUGGAAUUCCUGGUGGAGCGGUGGAAUGCGCAGAUAUCAGGAGGAACACCAGUGGCGAAGGCGGUUCUCUGGGCCUUUCCUGACGCUGAGGAGCGAAAGCGUGGGGAGCGAACNGGCUUAGAUACCCUGGUAGUCCNCGCUGUAAACGGUGGGUACUAGGUGUGGGGUCCNUUCCACGGGUUCCGUGCCGUAGCUAACGCUUUAAGUACCCCGCCUGGGGAGUACGGCCGCAAGGCUAAAACUCAAAGGAAUUGACGGGGCCCCGCACAAGCGGCGGAGCAUGUGGUUUAAUUCGACGCAACGCGAAGAACCUUACCUAGACUUGACAUCUUCUGCAUUACCCUUAAUCGGGGAAGUUCCUUCGGGGACAGAAUGACAGGUGGUGCAUGGUUGUCGUCAGCUCGUGUCGUGAGAUGUUGGGUUAAGUCCCGCAACGAGCGCAACCCUUAUUGUUAGUUGCUACCAUUUAGUUGAGCACUCUAGCGAGACUGCCCGGGUUAACCGGGAGGAAGGUGGGGAUGACGUCAAAUCAUCAUGCCCCUUAUGUCUAGGGCUACACACGUGCUACAAUGGCCGGUACAGAAAGACGCGAUACCGCGAGGUGGAGCAAAACUUUAAAACCGGUCUCAGUUCGGAUUGUAGGCUGAAACUCGCCUACAUGAAGCUGGAGUUACUAGUAAUCGCGAAUCAGCAUGUCGCGGUGAAUACGUUCCCGGGCCUUGUACACACCGCCCGUCACACCAUGAGAGUUGGCAAUACCCAAAGUUCGUGAGCUAACCGCAAGGAGGCAGCGACCUAAGGUAGGGUCAGCGAU